GCAGCAGGCACGCAAAUUACCCACUCCCGGCACGGGGAGGUAGUGACAAAAAAUAACGAUACGGGACUCUAUUGAGGCCCCGUAAUCGGAAUGAGUACACUUUAAAUCCUUUAACAAGGAUCCAUUGGAGGGCAAGUCUGGUGCCAGCAGCCGCGGUAAUUCCAGCUCCAAUAGCGUAUAUUAAAGUUGUUGCGGUUAAAAAGCUCGUAGUUGGUUCUGCGUGCCACGCUGUCGGUUCGCCGCCUGUCGGUGUAACUGGCAUGUCGUGGCAUGUCCUGUCGGUGGUGAACGGGGUCCCUGGUACGACGUAGGCUUUUAUAAGCUGAAAUCAGUACCGUGUGUGUUCCCGUUUGCCGAUCUCUCCUACUCCGGUGCUCUUAAACGAGUGUCGAGGUAGGCCGACACGUUCACUUUGAACAAAUUAGAGUGCUUAAAGCAGGCUAAAAUAUCUGCCUGAAUAGUGGUGCAUGGAAUGAUAAAACAGGACCUCAGUUCUAUUUUGUUGGUUUUAGGAAUAUGAGGUAAUGAUCAAUGUGGACUGGCGGGGGCAUUCGUAUUGCGACGUUAGAGGUGAAAUUCUUGGAUCGUCGCAAGACGCACUAGAGCGAAAGCAUUUGCCAAGUAUGUCUUAAUUGAUCAAGAACGAAAGUUAGAGGUUCGAAGGCGAUCAGAUACCGCCCUAGUUCUAACCAUAAACGAUGCCAGCCAGCGAUCCGCCGAUGUUCCUUUAAUGACUCGGCGGGGAGCUUCUACUCGGGAAACCAAAGCUUUUGGGUUCCGGGGGAAGUAUGGUUGCAAAGCUGAAACUUAAAGGAAUUGACGGAAGGGCACCACCAGGAGUGGAGCCUGCGGCUUAAUUUGACUCAACACGGGAAACCUCACCAGGCCAGGACAUUGGAAGGAUUGACAGAUUGAUAGCUCUUUCUUGAUUCAGUGGGUAGUGGUGCAUGGCCGUUC
rnacentral:rRNA from 1 species